GACGAACGCUGGCGGCGUGCUUAACACAUGCAAGUCGAACGGUAAGGCCCUUCGGGGUACACGAGUGGCGAACGGGUGAGUAACACGUGGGUGAUCUGCCCUGCACUUCGGGAUAAGCCUGGGAAACUGGGUCUAAUACCGGAUAGGACUCCGGACUGCAUGGUCUGGGGUGGAAAGCUUUUGCGGGGUGGGAGGGGCCCGCGGCCUAUCAGCUUGUUGGUGGGGUGAUGGCCUACCAAGGCGACGACGGGUAGCCGGCCUGAGAGGGUGACCGGCCACACUGGGACUGAGAUACGGCCCAGACUCCUACGGGAGGCAGCAGUGGGGAAUAUUGCACAAUGGGCGCAAGCCUGAUGCAGCGACGCCGCGUGAGGGAUGACGGCCUUCGGGUUGUAAACCUCUUUCAGCAUCGACGAAGCGAAAGUGACGGUAGGUGCAGAAGAAGGACCGGCCAACUACGUGCCAGCCGCCGCAGUAA
rnacentral:rRNA from 1 species